CGUAGGCGGACAGUUUAGUCAGAGGUGAAAGCCCAGGGCUCAACCUUGGAAUUGCCUUUGAUACUGGCUGUCUUGAGUUCGGGAGAGGUGAGUGGAAUGCCGAGUGUAGAGGUGAAAUUCGUAGAUAUUCGGCGGAACACCAGUGGCGAAGGCGACUCACUGGCCCGAUACUGACGCUGAUGCGCGAAAGCGUGGGGAGCAAACAGGAUUAGAUACCCUGGUAGUCCACGCUGUAAACGAUGAGUGCUAGUUGUCGGCAUGCAUGCAUGUCGGUGACGCAGCUAACGCAUUAAGCACUCCGCCUGGGGAGUACGGUCGCAAGAUUAAA
rnacentral:rRNA from 1 species